rnacentral:rRNA from 1 species
AGUUAGCGGCGGACGGGUGAGUAACACGUGGGUAACCUGCCCAUAAGACUGGGAUAACUCCGGGAAACCGGGGCUAAUACCGGAUAACAUUUUGAACUGCAUGGUUCGAAAUUGAAAGGCGGCUUCGGCUGUCACUUAUGGAUGGACCCGCGUCGCAUUAGCUAGUUGGUGAGGUAACGGCUCACCAAGGCAACGAUGCGUAGCCGACCUGAGAGGGUGAUCGGCCACACUGGGACUGAGACACGGCCCAGACUCCUACGGGAGGCAGCAGUAGGGAAUCUUCCGCAAUGGACGAAAGUCUGACGGAGCAACGCCGCGUGAGUGAUGAAGGCUUUCGGGUCGUAAAACUCUGUUGUUAGGGAAGAACAAGUGCUAGUUGAAUAAGCUGGCACCUUGACGGUACCUAACCAGAAAGCCACGGCUAACUACGUGCCAGCAGCCGCGGUAAUACGUAGGUGGCAAGCGUUAUCCGGAAUUAUUGGGCGUAAAGCGCGCGCAGGUGGUUUCUUAAGUCUGAUGUGAAAGCCCACGGCUCAACCGUGGAGGGUCAUUGGAAACUGGGAGACUUGAGUGCAGAAGAGGAAAGUGGAAUUCCAUGUGUAGCGGUGAAAUGCGUAGAGAUAUGGAGGAACACCAGUGGCGAAGGCGACUUUCUGGUCUGUAACUGACACUGAGGCGCGAAAGCGUGGGGGAGCAAACAGGAUUAGAUACCCUGGUAGUCCACGCCGUAAACGAUGAGUG